UGCUCAUUGGCACUGAUACUGGUUGAAGCGGACCUUGAAGCAGCUGAAGGAGGGUCCCAAGCCAUGUUUGCCACAGAUCAGGAUUCAACCUCAGAUGAAGCUCCGACUGAAAGUAUGAACCUGGUCUCUCCUGAACUGCCCAAUGAUGAGCUUCUGUAUUACAAUGGAGCAACUGCAGAUGCGAGCAGCACCAGUUCUGAAGCAGGAAACAGCG